GGAAUGGAGACCCGGGGUAGGGCUGGUGGGUUUGGGAGGGGUCAGUGAUUGAGGGACAGGUCGUUGCACCCUACGUUGGCAAGGGAACAAGAUGUGUUGGAGGCGAGAACCAUGGGUUUCGCUUUUAACGUCGUCUCGGUGGCAUUCUGCCUAAAUGACGGACCCGGAAAUAGUGCUGAGUGAUGUGGGCUGAAUCGUGGGUCAAUCGAGAAAACAGGGACUCUUGUCUUGAGGGUUCUCAGAAGUUGAGAAGCUCUGGCUUGGAGUGCAUCUGAUAGAAGUUGUCAUGAAAAAAUAAUGAGAAGCCAAGAUCGAAAGCUUGCUCUUCUUUGAAGUUACCAAAUGUUAUCUGUGUGAAUGUGAAAACCAUUUUGUUUGGCUAAUUACCAACCUAGCUCAACAGCAACGACAACAGCAACCACAAAAGGAGGACGACGA